GACCCAGUGGUGUAACGCUCAACACAUCAGCUUCAUUUGGCUGCCAGGAGAUCACACAUAUAAGCUGGAGCCCCCCGUUCGACUCGGGGCUGGGUCA